UCUGCCCGCUGGCGGCGUGCCUAAUACAUGCAAGUCGAGCGAACAGACGAGGAGCUUGCUCCUCUGACGUUAGCGGCGGACGGGUGAGUAACACGUGGAUAACCUACCUAUAAGACGGGGAUAAUUUCGGGAAACCGGAGCUAAUACCGGAUAAUAUAUUGAACCGCAUGGUUCAAUAGAGAAAGACGGUUUUGCUGUCACUUAUAGAUGGAUCCGCGCCGCAUUAGCUAGUUGGUAAGGUAACGGCCUACCAAGGCAACGAUGCGUAGCCGACCUGAGAGGGUGAUCGGCCACACUGGAACUGAGCCACGGUCCAGAGUCCUACGGGAGGCAGCAGUAGGGAAUCUUCGGCAAUGGGCGAAAGCCUGACGGAGCAACGCCGCGUGGGUGAUGAAGGUCUUCGGAUCGUAAAACUCUGUUAUUAGGGAAGAACAACUGUGUAAGUAACUAUGCACGUCUUGACGGUACCUAAUCAGAAAGCCACGGCUAACUACGUG
rnacentral:rRNA from 1 species